CUCUCUCUCUCCGCGAGGAUCGGAAUCAGUUCUUUCACUUACGCUAGGAGCGACUGGGAGUCUGCGACACCACCGUCGUCGCCAGGCGGAGGAGAUGAUGGAGCUCACCGUAAUCUCUCCCCUCAACAACUCACUCUCUCUCUCUCAUCCUCAACGACGCCGCCUCACAGCCGCCUCGUGCGCGGGCUCGUCGAGCCUCUCCGAGGUCAGGGUCUGCACCAACCGCACUUGCCGCAAGCAGGGCUCGUUCCAGACCCUGGAGGCGCUCUCCGGCCUGGCCCCGCCCGGCGUCGCCGUCAAUGCCUGCGGUUGCUUGGGCCGGUGCGGCUCCGGCCCCAACCUCGCCCUCCUGCCCGAGGGCGUCAUCGUCAGCCACUGCGGCACCGCCGCGCGCGCCGCGCGGAUCUUCUGUGACGCUGACAAGGACGUGUUGAGGAACCUGGAGGCGCUUGCGCUGAGGAAGAGAGCCGAGAGCGAGCUGGAGAGGGGAAAUUUCUCCGAUGCCGAGGUCCUGCUAACUCAGGCUAUAGCAAUGAGUCCAUCUGGUGGGAUCCAUGUGAUGUAUAAAGACAGAUCUGUUGCGAGGUUGGGAAUGAGCAACUAUAGUGGGGCUCUGGAAGAUGCAAAAGAAGCGUCAACAUUAGCUCCUCAGUACACUGAGGCUUAUUUAUGUCAGGGUGAUGCUCUCAUGGCAAUGGAACAGUUUGAUGAAGCUGAGAAGUCCUAUUCCACGUCCUCACAGAUAGAUCCCUCCAUUCGUCGUUCCAGAUCAUUCAAGGAUCGAGUUGAAAGGCUUCAACAGAAACUAGCUGCUGCAGAUAUCUCUUGAAGAUUGGCUGUGGAGUUAUAAGUACCAAGUUAACGUGGAGUAACCAAAAUAAUCUGUUGGUUUACAGAUCUUAAUAAUUAGUGAAGCAAUUUGUUUGUUUGCCUUGUAUCCGCCAGUAAUAAAGAGGACUCACUAUCAUAAUUCCUCUAUAAUAUUGUUUUUACGAUAAUCAGUCUUCUUGUGUAAAUGUUGCUUCACUUUACUGCUGGUUUCAGAACUGAGAUCCUAUUCUUUAGUCCUCAUCAAUGUGCAGGAUUUGGCAUGCGGUGGUGUGAUUGGAUACAUACAAAAUUGUAUAGGUUAUACACUUAAAAUGAGCAUGCCAAGGGAUGAGAUAUAUUGCUUAGGUCUACCAAAGAAGCAUCCAGCGUUAACUUGCUAUUCUUCAGUUCAAGGAUAGAAUUUGCGAGAGCAUCUGCCCAUUGUCACUUCUGUAAGUGCAGUUUGGGUUUCUUGUAACGGACAUGAUAAAGAUGGAGAAGCUUUUGGUUUUUGAGUUUCUGUUGUGACAAGUUUAGCUGGUGGAGAGAGCAGGUUUCAUCCCCAUGCUAAGUUGGAACCAUAGCAGAGUAGAAAGACUACAUGUUGCUGAUACUCAUAUAAGGUAGAUAGCAAUUUGGAAGUUAUGCUGUUAUUAGUAUAUAAGAUUGAUUAAGUACUUGGCUUGCGGAAUCAUUCUGACUGCAUUGAAUGAUAAUUAACAACCUUUGCUGUUGCAAGUCCAUCAUCCAUGUUUUUGCUUUCA